CCUUUUCACUUUCCGUUUUGUUUUUCCAACAGCCACCGAAGUUGCGGGCAGGUAAAACCAGGGACUUCCUCGACCCUGGCUUUGGCCUGCGUCGGAACCGCCAGGCUUGCUGGGAACAGCGCCCAACCGGUUCCUCAAACAGGUUGUGCCACGUGGCCUUGACCCGUGACACCCCUGCAGCUCGCGCCGAUUUGCACUCUCGGAGCGAAUGAGUCUUCUGGGCGGCUUCUCAGCCAGACAGCCCCGAGCGCUAUGCAAACCCAGUCCGACUGGCCUCCGGUGACCGACGACAUCCUGCGGCCUUCGCCUUUUGCGCAUCCUGGGCUGCACACCCUCCAUUGCGUGGCCCGCGUGCUGCUCUUCCCGACCUACUGGGCUCUGGACCAGUUGAUUGGCUGCUGGGCACCAACAGCGCGCCCCAGCAGGCUGAGAGCAGCAGCUGGCGGCGGGGUGGCGCUGCUGCUGCUCCUGCUAGUUGGCCUACCGCUGGCGUUGCCUGGCUUGCUACUCUGGCUGCCGCUGCAGGCCUGUCGCCGCCCCUUCUGCUACCAGCCCCCUCCUCCGUGCUGGGUGCCGCCCACGCCCUGGCGCCCGUGCGCUGAGUUUGCGCGCUGCUUUGUCUUCCUCACUGCCAACCUGUGCCUGCUCCCCGACGGGCUGGCGCGCUUCAGCAAUCUGCCACACAGCCAACAACGCGCAGAGGCCAUUGGCGCUACGCUGUUAAACGGCCUACGGCCCUCGCUUUAUGGAGCUACCGGAUGCAGCCCACAAAGGCUUGGGGAGCCAGGCGGGACGCUGACGGCCCAGAUGCCCGCGGGGCUGGACUUUGUGUGCCUGCAGGAGGUGUUCGAUAUUCGCGCAGCUCGACGCCUGGUGCGCUGCUUGGCUCCGAAUCUGGGCCCGGUGCUGUAUGACGUAGGCACACUUGGCCUACAGCCUGGGCCAUACUUAAAACUGCUAGGCAGCGGGCUCCUGCUGGCUUCCCGCUACCCGCUUCUGCGUGCCAACUUCCGUUGCUUUCCCAAUGCGCGUCGCGAGGACGCCUUUGCCUCCAAGGGUCUACUAUCCGCUCAGGUAUAUUCCCACAGGCUGUGUGCUCUGGCCCUGGAUGGGGUGAGCUGUUGGGCCGAAUGGGCAAUGAAAGCUGGUACUGUCGGUGGUGUUGCAGGUGCAACUGGGCAUCCUGGACGGGCACCGCGUAGUGGGAUUCCUGCAUUGCACGCAUUUACAUGCACCCACUGGUGAGCCCUGUGGGAAGGAUUGUUGGACGGUAGCCAGGCCCUCCUACGGCCCCUCUUUCGCAGCAGGCCUACCCUUAUUUGCACCUCUCUUUCCCACUGCCCACUGUUUUUUGUUCACUGCCCCAGUAAUGGCAACUCCCAAGAAGUGCCUGGGUGGGUGCAGAGACCCCAGUCUAGCGGGAACCAGGUGUCCAGGAUGUGGAUCCUCAACCUGGGCCGAAUAGAAGGCGGCACACCUCUACCCCCACCCUCCACCCCUUCUGUAGAGGAUGGGCUCUUGCGCUGCAAACAGCUGACGCUGCUACUGGACUGGGCAGAGCAGUUUGAGGCCGAGAGCCGCCAGAGUGGUGAGGCUGUGGCCUUUAGUGUGCUUCUGGGUGACCUAAAUUUUGACAACUGCUCAAAAGGUGAGGAGCUUAGCUGGGGGAGGCGAGGCCAAAAGGCCCAGCCCCGCCCACUGAACGCUGGUCUUAUGUGCAGACCACGCACAGGAACAGGGGCACAAACUCUUUCGCUGUUUCCGGGAUCCCUGCCGGCUGAGCACACGCCAGGAUCAGCCUUGGGCCUUGGGUAUGCGUCAGGGGGUUGGUGGGGGAGGGGUGGCCCCUCCAGGGAUUCAUCAGCUAGGCACCUGCUGAUUCAACCACCCCCACCCGCCCCCCACAGGAACCAUCCUAAGCACCUCCACCCUCCACCAAUCAGUAGCUAGCUCACCGGAGAUGCUGCGGAGGUGAGUGGAGCGCUGGGAGCCAAGCACUGCCGGCUGCGCCUGGAGGAGCGCCCCAGCCUUGGUGACAACGCCCCUCCCCUAGGGCCCUAGAGCAGGAGAAAGGGCGCCACCUCUACCUGGCAGGCCCUCCCCGCGGAGGCCGUCGGGCUAACCCCUGGCUGGGCCGGCGUCUGGACUACAUCACCUACCGGGAAAUGCCUGGGAGUGUGCUGAUUCCAGUAAGUGCCAGAGUUCAGGACUGCUGGGCUUGCUGGCACUGGAACCAUCCCUCAACCUGGUUCCUGCCCCCAGGAAGUGGAACAGGUUAUGUUUAGUACAGCCCUGGCGGGGCUCACAGACCACCUGACCGUGGGCCUGCAGCUCCGAGUUUCGGCGCUCUCCUGACACUGGCACAAAGGAUGCUGCCGGCAACACAGACCACAAGGCAGAGCACGAGUUUGGCCUGACAGCCGUGUCCCACAACUGGGCGAUGUAAGGGAUCUUUAUUACGGGGGCCUCACACAGCCUCUUGGGCCCUGCGGUACUCAUAGACACUACNAACACAUCCUGUGGAGAGAGGCGGGUUCAGAACAGGCUUGACCCUUCCCAGCCCGAGCAGCAUUCAUCAUCUUAACGUUUGGACCCCAGAGACCCGGCAUAUGACCCACUGCCCUUCGGGAACCAAAUUAAACUCGCUAUCUGGUUAUUUCUGCACCUCUGUUCAUUCU
rnacentral:lncRNA from 1 species